rnacentral:rRNA from 1 species
AUACGGAGGGGGCAAGCGUUGUUCGGAAUUACUGGGCGUAAAGGGCGCGUAGGCGGAUUAUCAAGUCAGAGGUGAAAGCCCUGGGCUCAACCUGGGAACUGCCUAUGAAACUGAUAGUCUUGAGGCCGGAAGAGGAUGGCGGAAUUCCCAGUGUAGAGGUGAAAUUCGUAGAUAUUGGGAAGAACACCAGUGGCGAAGGCGGCCAUCUGGUCCGGUUCUGACGCUGAGGCGCGAAAGCGUGGGGAGCAAACAGGAUUAGAAACCCCGGUAGUCC